AUUCAUGGUAUGAACGAUCAUGUUGGAACAGCUCCUUGGAAAGCUAAAAUGUAUCGAUUAAAUAAAGAGAGUUCCAAGUAUAACAUGAUAUGCGGCGAUCAUUAAUUAGUUCAAAUUUAGUUGUUUCUGGUAAAAACAAACGGCUCAUUGUUUUUGGAAGAUGGUAUGCUUUCUAAUAGAAUAUCAAUAAGCGAUGGCCUAUAUAGAAUUGCUGUUGGGAAAUAUUAUAGAAAUUACACAGUUAUUGACAAUGAUUUUACUCAAAUAAUGGAUGGAUCAGGAUUAAUCUGCACCAAUUUAUUGUUCCAAAUAUAUUUUCGACCACUAUCCUGUACUGCUGAUAUUCUCUGUGUAUCCAAUUGUCCCGAUAAUGGUACCAAAGCAAGCGGCAUCAUAGCAGUAAACUGACGCUUUCUUCAUUUGUUAAUACAGGUUCGUCAACCAACAACCAGAUAAUUUUACUACAACCAAACGAAAUCAAUAAAACGGGCAUUAAAAGGUAUCAAUAUUCGUUAUUAAUUUGAAAUUGCUUAUCGUAUUUCGUAUAUCACUAAUCAACUCAGCGUCAUACAGUAUUGUUUGUUUUAAAUUACGGUUUUUUAGAUCAGUACAAUAAAAUUGAUUUAUAAAAGUGGAAUAGUCGAUCUAAUAAGUACUCUUCACGACAAAUUCAAACGUGUUUUCUAAUCACUUCGCAACAAUAGAUGGGUGCGUUGGAAUGAAAAUACUUAUAUUUUGGUAUGCUGCAUGUUUGAGAUGGACAGAGAAAGAAAUUCACAGUUUACAAUCGAUAAUUAUGAAGUUAGACGGGAGUGCACUUAUCAUUGUUCAUACUUCCACUAUGUAUUUUGUUCUAAAACGAUUAAAAACUUGUGUUCUUAAUAUUUCUUUAUUAAAUAAGGUUUAAAUAAACUCAAAGACUAAAGGUUAAACCAAAUAUAAUUAAAGAGAAAAACAAUGAGUAUCAUAAACAUAAACUUAUUUUAAAUAUUAGUUUAUAAUAAAACAUACAGUACUUAUUAGUUAUUACAUAUUAUUAAAUAAUAUUAAUUUGGUUAAUUAAAGCCGUUUACUAACAAUAGAUGAAAUUUUUGAUUUGGCAACAUGAGAAGCAUAGUGAUAUUUUUAAAUAUUCCUGUCAGUUAAGUGUUACUAAAUUUGAUCUAUGAUUUUCUAAAAAUGAAAUAUAAGA